rnacentral:rRNA from 1 species
GACGAACGCUGGCGGCGUGCCUAAUACAUGCAAGUAGAACGCUGAAGGAGGAGCUUGCUUCUCCGGAUGAGUUGCGAACGGGUGAGUAACGCGUAGGUAACCUGCCUGGUAGCGGGGGAUAACUAUUGGAAACGAUAGCUAAUACCGCAUAACAGUAGAUAUCGCAUGAUAUCUGCUUGAAAGGUGCAAUUGCACCACUACCAGAUGGACCUGCGUUGUAUUAGCUAGUUGGUGAGGUAACGGCUCACCAAGGCGACGAUACAUAGCCGACCUGAGAGGGUGAUCGGCCACACUGGGACUGAGACACGGCCCAGACUCCUACGGGAGGCAGCAGUAGGGAAUCUUCGGCAAUGGACGGAAGUCUGACCGAGCAACGCCGCGUGAGUGAAGAAGGUUUUCGGAUCGUAAAGCUCUGUUGUAAGAGAAGAACGAGUGUGAGAGUGGAAAGUUCACACUGUGACGGUAUCUUACCAGAAAGGGACGGCUAACUACGUG